AUUGAACGCUGGCGGCAGGCCUAACACAUGCAAGUCGAACGAGUGGCGGACGGGUGAGUAAUGUCUGGGAAACUGCCUGAUGGAGGGGGAUAACUACUGGAAACGGUAGCUAAUACCGCAUACCAUCGGAUGUGCCCAGAUGGGAUGAGCUAGUAGGUGGGGUAAAGGCUCACCUAGGCGACGAUCCCUAGCUGGUCUGAGAGGAUGACCAGCCACACUGGAACUGGGACACGGUCCGAGCUCCUGCGGAAGGCAGCAGUGGGUAAUAUUGCGCGAUGAGCGCAACCCUGAUGCAGCCAUGCCGAAUGUAUGAAGAAGGACUUCGGGUUGUGAAGUGCUUUCGGCCGCGAGGCGUUGACCGCAGAAGAAGCACCGGCUAACUCCGUGCCAGCAGCCGCGGUAAUAC
rnacentral:rRNA from 1 species